CUGCAGCUCAAGUGGUGAUCAUUAUUAUUGGGCCUAAAACGUCCGUAGCCGGUUUAGUAAAUGCCUGGGUAAAUCGUGUAGCUUAACUAUACGACUUCCGGGUAGACUGCCAAACUUGAGACCGGGAGAAGCUAGAGGUACUCCUGGGGUAGAGGUGAAAUUCUGUAAUCCUGGGGGGACCACCAGUGGCGAAGGCGUCUAGCUAGAACGGGUCUGACGGUGAGGAACGAAGCCCUGGGGCGCAAACCGGAUUAGAGACCCGAGUAGUCC
rnacentral:rRNA from 1 species